rnacentral:rRNA from 1 species
GGAAUAUUGGUCAAUGGACGCAAGUCUGAACCAGCCAAGUAGCGUGAAGGACGACGGCCCUACGGGUUGUAAACUUCUUUUGUACGGGAAUAAAGUGAGGCACGCGCUGCCUUUUUGCAUGUACCGUACGAAUAAGCAUCGGCUAAUUCCGUGCCAGCAGCCGCGGUAAUACGGAAGAUGCGAGCGUUAUCCGGAUUUAUUGGGUUUAAAGGGAGCGUAGGAGGGUUUUUAAGUCUGCGGUAAAAUGUAGGCGCCCAACGUCGUCUUGCCGUGGAAACUGGGGACCUUGAAGACACGCAAGGAAGAUGGAAUUCGUCGUGUAGCGGUGAAAUGCUUAGAUAUGACGAAGAACUCCGAUUGCGAAGGCAGUCUUCUGGAGUGCGAUUGACGCUGAGGCUCGAAAGUGCGGGUAUCAAACA